rnacentral:rRNA from 1 species
CGGCGAGUGAAGCGGUAACAGCUCAAAUUUGAAAGCUAGCUCUUUGAGGGUUCGCAUUGUAAUUUGUAGAAGAUGCUUCGGGUGUGGCCCCGGUCUAAGUUCCUUGGAACAGGACGUCAUAGAGGGUGAGAAUCCCGUAUGUGACUGGGUGCUUUCGCUCAUGUGAAGCUCUUUCGACGAGUCGAGUUGUUUGGGAAUGCAGCUCUAAAUGGGUGGUACAUUUCAUCUAAAGCUAAAUAUUGGCCAGAGACCGAUAGCGCACAAGUAGAGUGAUCGAAAGAUGAAAAGCACUUUGGAAAGAGAGUUAAACAGUACGUGAAAUUGUUGAAAGGGAAGCGCUUGCAACCAGACUUGCGCGCUGAUGAUCAUCCGGGCUUCUGCCCGGUGCACUCGUCUGCGCUCAGGCCAGCAUCGGUUUCGGUGGUGGGAUAAAGGCCUUGGGAAUGUAGCUCCUCUCGGGGAGUGUUAUAGCCCUCGGUGCAAUGCCGCCUACCGGGACCGAGGACCGCGCUUCGGCUAGGAUGCUGGCGUAAUGGUUGUAAGCGACCCGUCUUGAAACACGGACCAAGGAGUCUAACAUCUAUGCGAGUGUUUGGGUGUCAAACCCAUACGCGUAAUGAAAGUGAACGGAGGUGAGAACCCUUAAGGGUGCAUCAUCGACCGGUCCUGAUGUCUUCGGAUGGAUCUGAGUAAGAGCAUAGCUGUUGGGACCCGAAAGAUGGUGAACUAUGCGUGAAUAGGGUGAAGCCAGAGGAAACUCUGGUGGAGGCUCGCAGCGGUUCUGACGUGCAAAUCGAUCGUCAAAUUUGCGUAUAGGGGCGAAAGACUAAUCGAACCAUUGUCGGCAGGCACAAAAAAUUCUUGUAAAAGUAGGCUAAAAAGCAACGCUAUUUGCUAUGCUUGCUGGCCGGAUCUUGCGAGGUCUAAAAAACAAGAAAUGAUUUUUGCUGCUAGGUGGUUAAGAGGUAUAUUAAAAGUAUACUUAGUCCGUAGAGGGCAACACUAUCAAAUUGCGGGGACGUCCUGUUUUAAAUACUGAACUACCGCAGCUGCCUCGAAAGAGGUAGUGCGCACCAGGUUAAUGACCUUGGGGAUGGUAAAAACGUUUAGAUAGGGAUAAUCCGCAGCCAAGUCCUAUAGGGUCUUAAGACCUACGGAUGCAGUUCACAGACUAAAUGAUAGUGGGUUAGAUACUCUAGCUUAAGAUAUAGUCGAAUCCCUCGAGAGAUCAAGGGCGGAGUUAAUACUUCCGUUUCUAUUGACUUUUCGUUACUGUAGGCUUGUGGGUG